rnacentral:rRNA from 1 species
UGAACGCUGGCGGCAGGCCUAACACAUGCAAGUCGAACGGUAACAGGAAGAAGCUUGCUUCUUUGCUGACGAGUGGCGGACGGGUGAGUAAUGUCUGGGAAACUGCCUGAUGGAGGGGGAUAACUACUGGAAACGGUAGCUAAUACCGCAUAACGUCGCAAGACCAAAGAGGGGGACCUUAGGGCCUCUUGCCAUCGGAUGUGCCCAGAUGGGAUUAGCUAGUAGGUGGGGUAAAGGCUCACCUAGGCGACGAUCCCUAGCUGGUCUGAGAGGAUGACCAGCCACACUGGAACUGAGACACGGUCCAGACUCCUACGGGAGGCAGCAGUGGGGAAUAUUGCACAAUGGGCGCAAGCCUGAUGCAGCCAUGCCGCGUGUAUGAAGAAGGCCUUCGGGUUGUAAAGUACUUUCAGCGGGGAGGAAGGUGUUGUGGUUAAUAACCACAGCAAUUGACGUUACCCGCAGAAGAAGCACCGGCUAACUCCGUGCCAGCAGCCGCGGUAAUACGGAGGGUGCAAGCGUUAAUCGGAAUUACUGGGCGUAAAGCGCACGCAGGCGGUCUGUCAAGUCGGAUGUGAAAUCCCCGGGCUCAACCUGGGAACUGCAUUCGAAACUGGCAGGCUUGAGUCUCGUAGAGGGGGGUAGAAUUCCAGGUGUAGCGGUGAAAUGCGUAGAGAUCUGGAGGAAUACCGGUGGCGAAGGCGGCCCCUGGACGAAGACUGACGCUCAGGUGCGAAAGCGUGGGGGAGCAAACAGGAUUAGAUACCCUGGUAGUCCACGCCGUAAACGAUGUCUAUUUGGAGGUUGUGCCCUUGAGGUGUGGCUUCCGGAGCUAACGCGUUAAAUAGACCGCCUGGGGAGUACGGCCGCAAGGUUAAAACUCAAAUGAAUUGACGGGGGCCCGCACAAGCGGUGGAGCAUGUGGUUUAAUUCGAUGCAACGCGAAGAACCUUACCUGGUCUUGACAUCCACAGAACUUUCCAGAGAUGGAGGGGUGCCUUCGGGAACUGUGAGACAGGUGCUGCAUGGCUGUCGUCAGCUCGUGUUGUGAAAUGUUGGGUUAAGUCCCGCAACGAGCGCAACCCUUAUCCUUUGUUGCCAGCGGUUAGGCCGGGAACUCAAAGGAGACUGCCAGUGAUAAACUGGAGGAAGGUGGGGAUGACGUCAAGUCAUCAUGGCCCUUACGACCAGGGCUACACACGUGCUACAAUGGCGCAUACAAAGAGAAGCGAACUCGCGAGAGCAAGCGGACCUCAUAAAGUGCGUCGUAGUCCGGACUGGAGUCUGCAACUCGACUCCAUGAAGUCGGAAUCGCUAGUAAUCGUGGAUCAGAAUGCCACGGUGAAUACGUUCCCGGGCCUUGUACUCACCGCCC